GAACUGAGGGACACACAGCACACUGGCCGGCGCCUUUCCCACUCUGCACGGUUUACCGGCCCCUACUUCCUAACUACAAGCCCAGAACCUCCGUCCUAAGAAAAAAGAAGAGACUGAAGAGUUACCAUGAGCAUCUUUUUGUUCCUAGUGAGUGCUGUUUUUGCCUUCAUAUUUUUCUUCUGGACAAACCAAUUUCAAGUAAAGAGGAGAAAACUGAAGCACAGUAAAUGCACUAAUCAUCUUCCUUGCUGCUGGAACACAAUAUCUGACACCCAAAACUUUAAAAAGGAGAGGUUUAUUUGGCUCACAGUCUCAGUCCAUGGUCAGCUAAUGGCAAAACAGAAAUGUCACAGCAGAAGAGUGUGUUGGAGCAAAUCUGCUCACUUUGUGGCAGCCAGGAAGCAGAGCACAGAGGAAAAGUGAGAGCCAUAGAGAGAGAUCUUCCCACCAAAGACAUAUCCUCAAUGAGCCAUCUUCCCAAAUUGGGCCCCACCUCUGAACAGCAUAUUCACCUGUUGAUUAUAUCAUGCCUAUGAUCCAGUCAGCACUCCAGGAG
ensembl:lncRNA